ensembl:lncRNA
AUGUAAAUUAUUUACUGGAAAUAAAUGUGUAAGUUUUAUCUGCUCCCUUUUACUUAAUGUUAUGUGCACGUACAUAAUUCUCCAAUUUUGACAGUAGUGAAAUGAUCCUUUUUUUUUCUUUCCUGCAGAGUUUACAUGAACAUCUAUUUUGACUACACCUGAAUUUUUUUCAAUAUUCUAACUUUUCCACAGGCCUUCUGUAUUUCAACAGCUCAAUACAGACAUUGUGUUUUAAGGCAGGGACCAGAGGAGGUCUGGCAAAAAGGGGGUCCAGCUGUAACUCUCCUAUGCUUCAUGUUGAUGCAAGAAGCAAGAAAGGAAAAAAUAUACACAAGAAAAAUACUGAAAAGGAAGACUGCUAAUGCUGCUAAGGUAGGAAUGCAAAGCUCUUGCAGGCACCUCCCUCCUGUCUAGCCUUCACUUACCACUGUGGGGUUGUUAUACAGAAGAGACAGAGUUUAAUUUACAUUGUUUCUUGAAUAAAUCCACUCUCAAAGAUGUGAACUCUGUUGUU